rnacentral:lncRNA from 1 species
GUGAUAGACGGGAUAAAGAAAAUAUGGCACAUAUACACCAUGGAAUACUACGCAACCAUAAAAAAGAAUGAGUUCAUGUCCUUUGCAGGAACAUGGAUGAAGCUGGAAACCAUCAUUCUCAGCAAACUAACACAGGAACAGAAAACCAAACACCGCAUGUUCUCACUAAUAAGUGGGAGGUGAACAAUGAGAACACAUGGACACAGGGAGG